UUGGUUAAAAAGUUAUUUCUCUGUUUAAUAAUUUGUCAGAUCCUAGCAAAGUUAAUGAACAGUACUGUGGCUGCCUUUUGAUCUUAAGACAAAGAUGGGAUAGUUUAAGGAGGUGCUUUGCCACUGACUCAGGAAGGAGACGUAGCUGCCCAUCCCCCAUGGCUCCCUGCACUUGUUUAUGGCCUGGGUUAGUUAUUCACCUGUGUAUCAAGCCACCAUCUCAAAGACAGGGAGCACUUCCUCCUGGGGCUCUCGUGAAGAUGAAAGGAUUCCACACAGGCAAGGAGCUUAGACUAUGCUCAGCACACAGUGAGUGCUCCGCAGAUGAGAGCCAUUGUUGACUAUUAGAGAUUGGCCACCUGAGCCGAGGGAGGUCUGAAGAUAUCAGGAAUAACACAAACAGACUGCCAGCUGAUGAUUGGCUCACAGCGGCCCCAGCAACAUCUAGCUGAUUGGCUCCUCUUCGGUGAUGCUCAUUAGGCUGUUUCCCAGCCCUUUCAGACCACGGAGCUGCUCAUUGGGGGACUUUUUUGGCUCUGCCCACGCGACCCAGCCAAUUGGCCUCAAGAGCAGGAGGAUUGUGAGAGAGAGAGGCUUGUGGGAAGCCGGUGGUGGCAGUUGGGCUCUGAGGGUUUUUCCUGAGGAGCUGUUUUGUUUGGCAUGUGUGGUUCUAAAAAUAAAGUUCGUUUCUUUUGACAAGUGGCUCCUGAAUCGUGCCUAGCCAGACUGCGGCAUUUGGUGGCCCAUACGGGGAACGAACCCGCGACCUUGGUUUUUGUGUUAUAUGUUUGAAUGUACAUAUGUCCAUAUAUCAUAUAUGAUGAGCACUCAUGAAAAAAUGGAUCCAAAUUUUUUUUUCACGUGAUUUAAAUGGUUUAAUUUAAAUUGGGUAAACAGCUGUUGAGGAUUGUUUUAAUAUAUGAACAAAAAAGGAGGUUAACAGAUCUGUUUGUUUACUUUCACCUUUCUUUUUCAUUAUAUUUAAUAAUUCUGUUGAAGAUAAGGUACAUUGUUAAGAAAAUUGUUUUCUAAAAAAAAAGAAAAGAAAAUUGUUUUCUUGCAUUGUGAACUCACUUGUAUGCAUUGUGAACUAUCUGUUGGUGCAGCGACUUGUGGUAGUGUUGGGGUAUUUAUGCUGAUGAUAUCAUCGGUGGUACAAUUUUUCCAAAAGGAGCCGUCAAUUGGCUUGGUGUAUCUUCCUCCCUUCUGCUUGUCAUGGUCGUUCAGCUAAAAUUUGGGGGCGAACAGAGGUGAGGCAAAGAACCUCACCCCCCACUGAUACAAAGACCUAUCCACAGGUGUGGCUGUAUACUGGAUCGGUAGUCAGUGACGGGUAAGAUCCAAUUGCAAUGGUACCAACCUAAGGCAGGAGGCUGACGCCUUGAGGUCAGCUCAUCCGAUAACGGGUAAGGACCAUAUGUACUAUUGGACAACCUAAGGCAGGCACGGUCCCUAAGCCACAUGCUUAUUGUUUAAACAGAGAGGGGGAGAUGUUGAGAGCCACAGCCGAAGGGGCCCCAGCAAACUUUCAGACUGCCAGCUGAUGAUUGGCUCACAGCGGCCCCAGCAACAUCUAGCUGAUUGGCUCCUCUUCGGUGAUGCUCAUUGGGCUGUUUCCCUGCCCUUUCAGACCACGGAGCUGCUCAUUGGGGGACUUUUUUGGCUCUGCCCACGCGACCCAGACAAUCGGCCUCAAGAGCAGGAGGAUUGUGAGAGAGAGAGGCUUGUGGAAAGCUGGUGGUGGCAGUUGGGCUCUGAGGGUUUUUCCUGAGGAGCUGUUUUGUUUGGCAUGUGUGGUUCUAAAAAUAAAGUUCGUUUCUUUUGACAA